rnacentral:rRNA from 1 species
UGACCUCGAUCAGUAGAAU